rnacentral:rRNA from 1 species
ACGGGAGACACACGGCGGGUGCUAACGUCCGUCGUGAAGAGGGAAACAACCCAGACCGCCAGCUAAGGUCCCAAAGUCAUGGUUAAGUGGGAAACGAUGUGGGAAGGCCCAGACAGCCAGGAUGUUGGCUUAGAAGCAGCCAUCAUUUAAAGAAAGCGUAAUAGCUCACUGGUCGAGUCGGCCUGCGCGGAAGAUGUAACGGGGCUAAACCAUGCACCGAAGCUGCGGCAGCGACGCUUAUGCGUUGUUGGGUAGGGGAGCGUUCUGUAAGCCUGCGAAGGUGUGCUGUGAGGCAUGCUGGAGGUAUCAGAAGUGCGAAUGCUGACAUAAGUAACGAUAAAGCGGGUGAAAAGCCCGCUCGCCGGAAGACCAAGGGUUCCUGUCCAACGUUAAUCGGGGCAGGGUGAGUCGACCCCUAAGGCGAGGCCGAAAGGCGUAGUCGAUGGGAAACAGGUUAAUAUUCCUGUACUUGGUGUUACUGCGAAGGGGGGACGGAGAAGGCUAUGUUGGCCGGGCGACGGUUGUCCCGGUUUAAGCGUGUAGGCUGGUUUUCCAGGCAAAUCCGGAAAAUCAAGGCUGAGGCGUGAUGACGAGGCACUACGGUGCUGAAGCAACAAAUGCCCUGCUUCCAGGAAAAGCCUCUAAGCAUCAGGUAACAUCAAAUCGUACCCCAAACCGACACAGGUGGUCAGGUAGAGAAUACCAAGGCGCUUGAGAGAACUCGGGUGAAGGAACUAGGCAAAAUGGUGCCGUAACUUCGGGAGAAGGCACGCUGAUAUGUAGGUGAAGUCCCUCGCGGAUGGAGCUGAAAUCAGUCGAAGAUACCAGCUGGCUGCAACUGUUUAUUAAAAACACAGCACUGUGCAAACACGAAAGUGGACGUAUACGGUGUGACGCCUGCCCGGUGCCGGAAGGUUAAUUGAUGGGGUUAGCGCAAGCGAAGCUCUUGAUCGAAGCCCCGGUAAACGGCGGCCGUAACUAUAACGGUCCUAAGGUAGCGAAAUUCCUUGUCGGGUAAGUUCCGACCUGCACGAAUGGCGUAAUGAUGGCCAGGCUGUCUCCACCCGAGACUCAGUGAAAUUGAACUCGCUGUGAAGAUGCAGUGUACCCGCGGCAAGACGGAAAGACCCCGUGAACCUUUACUAUAGCUUGACACUGAACAUUGAGCCUUGAUGUGUAGGAUAGGUGGGAGGCUUUGAAGUGUGGACGCCAGUCUGCAUGGAGCCGACCUUGAAAUACCACCCUUUAAUGUUUGAUGUUCUAACGUUGACCCGUAAUCCGGGUUGCGGACAGUGUCUGGUGGGUAGUUUGACUGGGGCGGUCUCCUCCUAAAGAGUAACGGAGGAGCACGAAGGUUGGCUAAUCCUGGUCGGACAUCAGGAGGUUAGUGCAAUGGCAUAAGCCAGCUUGACUGCGAGCGUGACGGCGCGAGCAGGUGCGAAAGCAGGUCAUAGUGAUCCGGUGGUUCUGAAUGGAAGGGCCAUCGCUCAACGGAUAAAAGGUACUCCGGGGAUAACAGGCUGAUACCGCCCAAGAGUUCAUAUCGACGGCGGUGUUUGGCACCUCGAUGUCGGCUCAUCACAUCCUGGGGCUGAAGUAGGUCCCAAGGGUAUGGCUGUUCGCCAUUUAAAGUGGUACGCGAGCUGGGUUUAGAACGUCGUGAGACAGUUCGGUCCCUA